GUUUCAAUUCCUCAUAGGCAGGCUAUCGGCUUUCCGGUCUGUAUAAGAGAAUGGGAAUAUGGCUAG
rnacentral:sRNA from 1 species